UUUAAAAAAAAGAAUAAAGGGGAUAUUACCAUAAAAUUAUCAUAAAAAGGGGACAUUGGGUCUAACAGGGUUGAGAAUCACCGUUUCAUAUGAGACCAAGGAAUUUCUGUUCUCUCAGUUUAACUCAGCACGGAACAGUGUUUAAUCAAAGCCAACAAUUAGAACUAUUUUCAGCCACUUGAGUUAGCUCACUGAUCCAGACUCUCUCAUGGAUACAUGCCAGUUGAUAAGUUCAGCCUAGUCUGAAGUUAUGUUCCUGCCUCCUGAUCUAACACCCUUAGAAUUUAUUACCACACAUAUUCACUGUUCAGGGUUUGGACAAUGUAAAUUAGCACAUAGAAGCAGCCAGCCUGCCUGAUGGUUUUUGACUCCUUGUGUGCACCAGCCUGACCUCCUCACUUAUGGUUUAUAGCGGCUGACAUGACAUCUGCUAAAGCCUUGUCUUUAAGAGACAAUUCCUUCAAAGUCAUCAUAGGUGGUAACUUAUGUUUUUUUAGCACCAGUCCUUGGACUACCAGUGUCCUUUCCUUUUCUCAUUAUGGUUUUCUGAUACUGUUUCAUAGAGGAGGUCUUCUUGCAUUUUAUGGAAGAGGACAAAAAAAUGGAAAUUUCUUUCUGAAUAAUGCUCUAGGAUGAUUUUCAGAACGAUGUUCUGCUCCUUCUUCCCCACUGGAUUGUGAAUCAAUAAAUAUUAUAGAGAAUCUAUUAUGUGCUAGACAUUAGGGAGGUGUCCCUACUCCCAUGACAUGUUAAAGGUACUGUUCCCGUCCUCUUAAUUCUGUAGAGCUUUUCAUGGUCUUCACUUCUUUAUGAAGUCAGAUUUUUCCAGACUCUUCUGUCUUUGUCAAUAUCAGUGGCAGUUGAAUGGAUCCUUAUCAAUAACACUGACAAUUGAAUGGAUCCUUUUAUAUGAUUCUGGAUUAUAUCCAAGUAUCUGCUAAUUCAAUUUGAAGAGCAUGUAUCUACUAUACAUAAAACACUGUGCUAAGAGAUAUGGCAAAUGAUAGUAAUAGCCAGCACGCACUGAAUACUUAAUAAGUGUUGAUCACUUUUAUUUUUAUUUAUUUAUUUAUUUUUGUUGAUCACUUUUAAGUACUUUGCAUGUAUAACGUGUUUAGUCCUCAACCACUUUAUGAGGUGUUGCUGUUAAUACUCCCAUUUUACAGAUGAAGAAACUGAAGCAUUAAGGGCUUAGAACCUUGCUCAAGGUCAUAUGCCAGUAAUUAAAUUAAACACAGAUGAUCCACAUCCAGGGCCAAUUCUCUUAACUACUUCCUUGUGGGAUUCACUUGACCAUUCAUGAAAUGGUAUUUCUUUGCAUUGACUUUUUGAUCUGAUUGCUUAUCUUCCCUAUGAAAAUGGAGAAUUUCUCGAAGUUUCAGGUGUACAACAUAAUGAUUUGAUAUUUGUAUAUACUGCAAAAUGG